AAAACAGUUUUCAAAGAAUUUACUAGAAAUGGGAAAUGACCUGGCAAGCCUGUCUCUGCCUGAGCAUGAACACAACAAAAGUAGCUGUGCAGCACGUUUUUUAAGGAAGAGGAGGAUGGUUGCAGACGUUCGCAUUCAUGCAAGAAGAUGUCAGGCUGCCAAUACCUUUGGGUCGAUAGUCCAUGUGUUGGAUGAUGCACUGCCAUUGAUCAGAACAGGCCGUGUAUAUUACAGUUGACCAAAGCUAUACUUGGAUACAAGACUGAUGACUCAAUAACCAGUAUUGACAACAGUGAAGAUGGUUAUGUCCCAAGGCCAUCAGGAUCAUAAGAGGAAGGCAAUUUCUAUGAAGAAAAUCUGACCGGAGACAUGUCAGCGAUUCGGGCCAAACAGCCAAUAACCAAGGGAAAGGUGGGACAAAAGAGGCUCACACGUUAAGCAUGUUUCCUGCUUCCUUCAGUCAGUUCAUUUUCACUCUGUAGUCAAAUCAAAUGUUAUUGGUCACAUACACAUGGUUAGCAGAUGUUUAUGCGAGUGUAGCAAAAUGC